CGGACGGGUGAGUAAUGUCUGGGAAACUGCCUGAUGGAGGGGGAUAAUACUGGAAACGGUAGCUAAUACCGCAUAACGUCGCAAGACCAAAGAGGGGGACCUUAGGGCCUCUUGCCAUCGGAUGUGCCCAGAUGGGAUUAGCUAGUAGGUGGGGUAACGGCUCACCUAGGCGACGAUCCCUAGCUGGUCUGAGAGGAUGACCAGCCACACUGGAACUGAGACACGGUCCAG
rnacentral:rRNA from 1 species